UAGGGAAUCUUCGGCAAUGGACGAAAGUCUGACCGAGCAACGCCGCGUGAGUGAAGAAGGUUUUCGGAUCGUAAAACUCUGUUGUUAGAGAAGAACAAGGACGUUAGUAACUGAACGUCCCCUGACGGUACCUAACCAGAAAGCCACGGCUAACUACGUGCCAGCAGCCGCGGUAAUACGUAGGUGGCAAGCGUUGUCCGGAUUUAUUGGGCGUAAAGCGAGCGCAGGCGGUUUCUUAAGUCUGAUGUGAAAGCCCCCGGCUCAACCGGGGAGGGUCAUUGGAAACUGGGGGACUUGAGUGCAGGAGAGGAGAGUGGAAUUCCAUGUGUAGCGGUGAAAUGCGUAGAUAUAUGGAGGAACACCAGUGGCGAAGGCGGCUCUCUGGUCUGUAACUGACGCUGAGGCUCGAAAGCGUGGGGAGCAAACAGG
rnacentral:rRNA from 1 species